rnacentral:rRNA from 1 species
GAUGAACGCUAGCUACAGGCUUAACACAUGCAAGUCGAGGGGCAGCAUGAACUUAGCUUGCUAAGUUUGAUGGCGACCGGCGCACGGGUGAGUAACACGUAUCCAACCUUCCGUUUACUCAGGGAUAGCCUUUCGAAAGAAAGAUUAAUACCUGAUGGUAUGGUGAGAUUGCAUGAUAGCACCAUUAAAGAUUUAUUGGUAAACGAUGGGGAUGCGUUCCAUUAGGUAGUAGGCGGGGUAACGGCCCACCUAGCCGACGAUGGAUAGGGGUUCUGAGAGGAAGGUCCCCCACAUUGGAACUGAGACACGGUCCAAACUCCUACGGGAGGCAGCAGUGAGGAAUAUUGGUCCAAUGGGCGAGAGCCUGAACCAGCCAAGUAGCGUGAAGGA